rnacentral:rRNA from 1 species
UACGUAGGGUGCGAGCGUUGUCCGGAAUUAUUGGGCGUAAAGAGCUCGUAGGCGGCUUGUCACGUCGGAUGUGGAAACCCGGGGCUCAACCCCGGGCCUGCAUUCGAUACGGGCAGGCUAGAGUUCGGCAGGGGAGACUGGAAUUCCUGGUGUAGCGGUGAAAUGCGUAGAUAUCGGGAGGAACACCAGUGGCGAAGGCGACUUCCUGGCCUGUUCUUGACGCUGAGGCGCGAAAGCUAGGGGAGCAAACGGG